rnacentral:tRNA from 1 species
GGGCCGUUAGCUCAGUUGGUAGAGCAGCUGACUCUUAAUCAGCGGGUCGAAGGUUCGAGCCCUUCACGGCCCACGA